UAACCGGAGAGGCGGCUGAGGAGGCGGGUGUGCUGUGUGCGCACACCGGCAAAGAAGGCUGGAGCGUGGGCAAGGUUUGAAAAUAAGACAGACAAACAAAAUGGCACUGGGAGGAGAGGUCGAAGGAUGGCAACCUGGAUGGAUGGGGUGGGAUAGGAUGGGUGACGGAGAGGAGAGCCGUGGUUGAAGCUCUUCACCUCUGGCUAAGGACUGCGGAGGAGGCUGUCCUGUGACGGUUUGUUAUGGUAACCUCUUCACUUUGAGUACUAUGACGACUCCCACACACAGCUAAGAGCCAGGGGCAGCAUGGUCAAACAGCCGUCGACAACGAGUCUACUGUAGCAUCAUCAACAACACAGAAGGAUGCUUUUGGAUUGCAUGUAGGAUUAAAGACAGUUAACAACAAGA